rnacentral:rRNA from 1 species
GACGAACGCUGGCGGCGUGCUUAACACAUGCAAGUCGAACGGAGUUACGUAUGAAGUAUUUCGGUACGGACUACAUAACUUAGUGGCGAACGGGUGAGUAACACGUGGGCAACCUGCCCUUAACCGGGGGAUAACAUUGUGAAAACAGUGCUAAUACCGCAUAACAGAGUAUCGGGCAUCCGAUAUUUUUAAAAGGAGCAAUCCGGUUUAGGAUGGGCCCGCGUCCAAUUAGCUAGUUGGUGAGGUAACGGCUCACCAAGGCUACGAUUGGUAGCCGAACUGAGAGGUUGAUCGGCCACAUUGGGACUGAGACACGGCCCAGACUCCUACGGGAGGCAGCAGUGGGGAAUAUUGGGCAAUGGGCGAAAGCCUGACCCAGCGACGCCGCGUGAACGAUGAAGGCCGUGAGGUUGUAAAGUUCUUUUCCGGGGGGGGAAUAAGCGUGGCAGGGAAUGGCCGCGCGAUGACGUGAACCCGGAAUAAGCCCGGCUAACUACGUGCCAGCAGCCGCGGUAAGACGUAGCGU